CCCAUGGUCUGUAUAGUGGUGAGUAUCUCCGCCUGUCACGUGGAAGGCCCGGGUUCGAUUCCCGGCUGAGGAG
rfam:Echinostoma caproni strain Egypt genome assembly, scaffold: ECPE_scaffold0029790